GACGAACGCUGGCGGCGUGCUUAACACAUGCAAGUCGAGCGGUAAGGCCCUUUCGGGGGUACACGAGCGGCGAACGGGUGAGUAACACGUGGGUGACCUGCCCUCAGCUCUGGGAUAAGCCUGGGAAACUGGGUCUAAUACCGGAUAUGACCCCAUGACGCAUGUCGUGGGGUGGAAAGCCUUGUGCGGCUGAGGAUGGGCCCGCGGCCUAUCAGCUUGUUGGUGGGGUGAUGGCCUACCAAGGCGACGACGGGUAGCCGGCCUGAGAGGGCGACCGGCCACACUGGGACUGAGACACGGCCCAGACUCCUACGGGAGGCAGCAGUGGGGAAUCUUGCGCAAUGGGCGAAAGCCUGACGCAGCGACGCCGCGUGAGGGA
rnacentral:rRNA from 1 species